rnacentral:rRNA from 1 species
AUGACUCGUUUAACCCGACGGUAUUGGUGGGGCAUUGACAAGGGUAAAAGAAAAAUGCCGUGGCUGAGUUGGGAUAAGAUGACCCCGGCGAGCGCGCCUGUGCGCGAGGACUGCCGCGUCUACCCCGCAGCUUCUUCGUCUUCCUCGCGCAGCGCCUGCAACACCACCGGCCGCCGCCGUCAUCACCACGCCCCGCCGAAGCUCACCACCGCCUCGCGAGCCAUGGCUUCCUCCUCCUCGUCCCAUGCUGAGGACGUCGUCUCCGCGCCGCGUCCCCCAAGCCUUCUACUCGGCCUCGCACCUGCUGGCCCAUCCGGCCGCCGGACCUCGCCGGCAGGGUUCCUCCGGCCUCCCCGAGCCCUCCUCUGCAACGAUGUGAGCAUCCGGCUCCCCCCUGGCCUCUCCCCUCUCUUCGUCGUGCCUCGUAGGCGCCCUGCCGACGAGGCCGUGCCUCUGCCGCCACUCGACGCCGACAUGGUGGUCGAUUCCGACCGUCCCAGCUCCUGCUAG